GGACGCGCUGUCCUUGCGCCUUUUCAAGAACCACGCAGAAAAGUGAGGCCAGUCGUGGACACGCGGAAGAGAUGCCUAAAGAAGAAGCAGUGAGUGUACAGAAAAACGCAGGGAGAGGCGAGGCCACGCUUUGUCUCCCCUGGACCGAUUUUACCUGCACAAGAGCCAACAUAUACAAUAGCCAGAGUUGUGGGCACAUCACCUUCUCUGCAGAGACGCUGGGAGUUCCUCCCGGGGAGCUGUGGGUAGCAGAAGGCCACGGGGCACCGGAAUCCAGGCCAGAGGUGCCCUGUGGUCAUAGAGAGAGUACAAGCCCAAAAGGGAGACCAAGUCGCUUUGUCUCCCUGAACCUCAGUUCCUUCAUCUGUAAUGAGUAUCAAAAUUGUGGCGGGGGAAGACUUUCUGCAGAAUUCCAUUCCUAUCAUGGGCCUUCUUCUUCAAACAAGCAAACAGAC